CAGAAAGAUUAGAUGGGAGAAAUAUAAAGGUAUAGAUGUGUCUAAAAUGUUGGCAUAAAAAGGAAUUAAAUAUUGAAUUACAUUUUGUGCAUAAUCCAAUUAUUUUUCAUGAUUUAUUGAUCAUCAUUUUUGAGAGUCACACCGCAUUUAUAUUUUACAUUUAAUGCCCAAUGCACAUUUUAAUAGCACUCAGAGCACCCCUUGAGCUAAUGUCUCGGUUAUGCCGCCUGCUCAUGAGAGAGAGAUGUGCAUUGUGCACCAUUCUAAUGGUGAGAAUGAUGGGAUAAUUUAUGUUGUCAUUGCAUCCUCAUUAAAACACUCAAUCCCCAAUAUGAGCACGAGCAAAUCUGAUGAGAACACCAUCGUACAUACACCUCCAAGGGAUUCACUUCUGCAAUUGUUCAAGACGAUUGUAGAAAAAAAAAGGAGGAGGCAUGUCGUGCUAAAAAUAGGUUCAUUGCAGAAUUAAAUAGCAUUAAAGGUGCAAUAAAACAUGAGAAAUAAAAGUCAUAUAGCUUGUAUACACAUAUGUAUAUGUAAGUAAUGGAAGAAACUUCACUGACACUAUAAAUUACACGACAUCGAGAUAUUCCCUCCGAGCCAAAAUCUUUCAGAUCCCACUGCGAAAAAUCGCAAUCACAACUAGCAGUUUUCUUCACUCACUGCCGUCUCAAAUUGAGUGUCUUCUGAGAAGGAUUAAGAGGCGCUAAGAAUGAUUUAUGGGGGGUUUUUAAAUUUUCACGUGAAAUUUAUAAUAAAACGUAUUCUAAUAAAUCUCAAUUUUAUGGAUAAAUUUCUUUGUGAAAUACGAAGAAUCAGGGCAAAUGAAAAUUUGAUCUAAAAAAUCUUCAGACUUUGAGCACUAAGAGCAUUCAGUUUUGUAUUUAAAGGAAUAACUGAUAAAAGUACAGAAUGUGGGAGAAAUACUAUAGGUAAUUAAUUAGUUUGAUACAGUCUUUUCUGUAGGAAAAAAGCCCUCAUAUUGUUGAACCCCGAUAGCCCACUAUUGUUUUAACAAAAUUUGUAGAAUUUACGUAGAUGAGGCUAAAGAAGAUGUUUUGAUAACAUAGAAAUCUCAUUUGAAAAUAUUCUUAGAAUAAAUAUCGCGAUACAAAGAACGAAUGUUUCAAUGUUUCUAUGUUUCAUGCUGCCGCGAAGAGGUUAACCCUUUAACGUCCAAUGUGAAACAUAAAAACAUUGAAACAUGCGCUCUUUUAUCGCGAUUUUUAUUCUAUGAUUUUUUUUUAGAGGACUUUUCUCACUCAGAACGUCUUCUUUGACCCCUUAUGCGUGAAUUUGAUGCAUUUGUAACAUGGAAAAACAAUUACAUUCAUAAAUAAUUGAAAAAAUAAAAUGUUUCACGUUUGGGUCAGCGUAUGACCCAAAAAACCUUAAAGGGUUAAUGAAAAUUAACUAUUCAAUUCCAAUUAAAUUGAAAAAAAAAAUAGAAAAAUUUACUUGACGCAACAUUUAUAUUUUGCCUGGCACGAAAAGAACAUAACCUGAAUAUUUUGCUUUUAUUUUUUUUUAAAUUUUAUUCAUCAGGAAAAUUUUCCUUUUUUAACCCUUUUAGGUCCGCGAUCAAUCUAACGAGCUGAUUGAAAUAAAAAUAUUUUUUUUUUUUAAUUUUAAAAAUCCUAACUCAAAAAUUUUCGGUUUUUCGUCCUGAGAGUCCUUGGGGAUGUCCUUUUGAUGUCAUAAAAUGAUCAAGGAUUAAAAAGACAUAGUCUUGUACUAAUUUGGAUACAAUAUUCAUCAAAUAAAUAUACAAAAUGAAAUAUUUUCAAAAUUGAGCCUUUGGGUCAGCGUAUGACCCAAUGGACCUGAAAACCGGAUUGAAGAACAUUUUGAACAUUUUGAAGCAAUCAACUGAUAGUUUUAGGUUUCAUAUAAAAAAAAAACUUUAGGUAAACCUGGGUUAAAAUUCAACUAAUUUUGGCAUCAAGAAGGAUUUUCUCAGGAAAUUUUUGAAAUUUUCACGAAGUCUAAUUUUAAACUUGUCCAUAAAAGUCAAUAAUCAACCAAUUUAACUGAUUUUUUUCCUGAAAAUACUAAAUCUCCUUUAAUCGAAUCUUUUCGACUUUUGAGAAAAUAUAAGAACUUUUUUUUGCCAUCAGAUCAGAAUAAACAAAGAAAAUUGCCCAGAUUAAAAAAAACUGAAUCAACAAUAAAAAAGAAAA